rnacentral:rRNA from 1 species
UAGAGUUUGAUCCUGGCUCAGAACGUACGCUGGCGGCACGCCUAACACAUGCAAGUCGAACGAAGUAGCAAUACUUAGUGGCAGACGGGUGAGUAACAUGUAGGUAUCUACCCUAUGGCCUGGAAUAACACGAGGAAACUUGUGCUAAUACUGGAUAAGUCCUUACGGAGAAAGCUUUAUGCACCAUUGGAUGAGCCUGCACUUGAUUAGUUUGUUGGUGGGGUAAUGGCCUACCAAGACUUUGAUCAAUAGCUGAUUUGAGAGGAUGAUCAGCCACAUUGGGACUGAGACACGGCCCAAACUCCUACGGGAGGCAGCAGUGGGGAAUCUUGCACAAUGGAGGAAACUCUGAUGCAGCGAUGCCGCGUGAGUGAAGAAGGCCCUUGGGUUGUAAAGCUCUUUCGUCGGGGAAGAAAAUGACUGUACCCGAAUAAGAAGGUCCGGCUAACUUCGUGCCAGCAGCCGCGGUAAUACGAAGGGACCUAGCGUAGUUCGGAAUUACUGGGCUUAAAGAGUUCGUAGGUGGUUGAAAAAGUUGGUGGUGAAAUCCCAGAGCUUAACUCUGGAACUGCCAUCAAAACUUUUCAGCUAGAGUAUGAUAGAGGAAAGCAGAAUUUCUAGUGUAGAGGUGAAAUUCGUAGAUAUUAGAAAGAAUACCAAUUGCGAAGGCAGCUUUCUGGAUCAUUACUGACACUGAGGAACGAAAGCAUGGGUAGCGAAGAGGAUUAGAUACCCUCGUAGUCCAUGCCGUAAACGAUGUGUGUUAGACGUUGGAAAUUUAUUUUCAGUGUCGCAGUGAAAGCGAUAAACACACCGCCUGGGGAGUACGACCGCAAGGUUAAAACUCAAAUGAAUUGACGGGG